ACGGGAGGCAGCAGUGGGGAAUAUUGCACAAUGGGGGAAACCCUGAUGCAGCAACGCCGCGUGAGUGAAGAAGUAUUUCGGUAUGUAAAGCUCUAUCAGCAGGGAAGAUAAUGACGGUACCUGACUAAGAAGCUCCGGCUAAAUACGUGCCAGCAGCCGCGGUAAUACGUAUGGAGCAAGCGUUAUCCGGAUUUACUGGGUGUAAAGGGUGCGUAGGUGGCAUGGUAAGUCAGAUGUGAAAUACCGGGGCUCAACCCCGGAGCUGCAUUUGAAACUGCCAGGCUGGAGUGCAGGAGAGGCAAGCGGAAUUCCUAGUGUAGCGGUGAAAUGCGUAGAUAUUAGGAGGAACACCAGUGGCGAAGGCGGCUUACUGGACUGUAACUGACGUUGAGGCUCGAAAGCGUGGGGAGCAAACAGGAUUAGAUACCCUGGUA
rnacentral:rRNA from 1 species